rnacentral:sRNA from 1 species
AACCGUUGACAAGAGCAAUUAUUAAUGAUACACUGGUUAAGUAAAUUAGUUUAUGAGUUAGUAUUUGUGUUUCACAUCUUUAUUUCUCUCUAUUUUUACAAAAUGAUUUAUAGAAAGGAAGUGGAUGUAUAUGGCACAAGGUACAGUUAAAUGGUUUAACGCUGAAAAAGGUUUCGGUUUUAUUUCAACUGAAAACGGUCAAGAUGUCUUCGCACAUUUUUCAGCUAUUCAGACUCCAGGAUUUAAAUCUUUGGACGAAGGACAAAAAGUGGAAUUUGAUGUAGAAGAUGGUCAACGUGGCCCUCAAGCAGUUAAUAUCACAAAAAUGUCUUAAUCACAUUAAAAUAGAUUAAACUAAACAGACACUUUCACGAGUGUCUGUUUUUU